AGCUUAGCCACAAGUUGAUCAUUUUAUUAAUAAUCAGGAUCCUAACUAUUUCAUCAAAAAAAAAAAAUCCUACAGAUAUUGUCAGCUUUCAGUGUAGUGAGAUAAUUCCUGUAGGUUACAGGGUGUAAUUCAGGAUUUAACUAAUGUUUCUGCUAUUUUCUCACUUUUCCUUUUGAUGGUGCGGAAAGAGAAAAGGAAAACGGGGCACAGGCCACUCACCGCCUUCUCCAAGGGGUCUGAUUUGCUGAGACACCAGCUUCACCUUCUUAACAAGGUGCAGUUCAGUGGAAGAUGAUGACAGCCAGAAGACAUGAGCUAAGGUUUCUGUCCUAUAAAAGAU